AGCCCCGAAGUGUUUUCACGUCAAAAUGCAAGUUUNAAGAGGAGCCCUAUAAGGCUCCGGGGCUU
rnacentral:tRNA from 1 species